rnacentral:misc_RNA from 1 species
AACGCAAAUUGCACUUUCUGGUAUUCCGGAAAGUAUGCCUGUUUGAGGGUCAGUUAAAUAAAAAUCGGUGUUAUCGCUAUUAAUGGUGAUGCAUCGGAAUUGAGUCGUCUUUACGUUUGGUUUAAGUGACUUAAAAUUAUGUACGAUUUUUGAACGUAUUUAAAUUAUUUACUUACGUUCAUGAUAUCACAUAUUAGGUGCGGUCAUCCACAUGAUUUCGCGCCUAUAAUUUUUCAUUAUUUGACCUCAAAUCAGGUAAGAAUACCCGCUGAACUUAA